rnacentral:misc_RNA from 1 species
GGGAAUUCUGGGUGUGGUUUUUUACCUUUACCUGUUUGCACAGUGGGCUCUUGCUCUUAUAGUUUCUAUCAUGGAGGAAGACUGUGGUGGAAUUAAGGCUGUGGGAAAAGCCCGGAAAAUUAUCUCAGGAAGAGAAGUACAAGGGUGGUUUCUGAUGCUGAUUCUGACAGUAAUAAGCAUUCCGAUCUGUGUUGUGUUCUAUGUUACAAUAACAGAUGAUGAUGAUGAACUUGGUCUCUUCACUCAGUUUGCUUUUGGGUUCUUUUCAACUGCGAUCCUUUGCCUAGCUAUGUUUUUCACCUUUGUGGUUUUCACAGUUUUCUGCUAUGAAUGUGAGCAGAGACAUGGCGAGAUAGAAUCAGAAGCUGGG